CUAAGAAACGUCUCUAAAUAUGGGACGUAAUUCGGCCGUCCUCCAUUACACGUGGCGCCGUCUUAUUUGGUGAUGUUUUUUUGUAGGGUUCGACCAAAUGUAUCGAGGGUUCGACUCAUUUUUUUAUCUCCGUCUCUCUUUCUUUAUCCUCUCUUUCUUUGGACGGCGAUUUGAUUCCGACCAAGUGUUUUCCUAGACAAUUGCCUGAAGCAUAGAGAAAUCUGCCGUCACUUUGCUCUCGCCGGUUCCAAUAGAUAGAGGUCUGUGUUCGUGCUUCGUUUCCGACGGCCUCAAGAUUGCAAACUAAAAGUUUGUUGCUUUGGUCGGAUUUCGUAAGGGAUAGCAAGCGAGUCGACAUGUUUCCUCAGCUUUCAUCUCAUGAAAGCCUCACAUAAAGGAGAAAUCACAGAACAAGUUGGAACAAUCAGAGAGACAAAAGAUACUUCACAUGUGCGAAUGUUGAUGAUGGAGAGAUGCAUAUUCACAAGUGGUGGGAUAUAGCUGUCAUGGAGGAGAUGGGCGAGAUGAACAAACAAUGUCAAGUGCUGUCUGAGAAGGUGGAUAGCCUCACAACCGCAAGUGACUAUGACUCGCACAUCAAUACUGAAACCGAGCAGAAAAUAGUCAUGUUAGAGAAGGUAGUGUUAGAGCUACGGAAGAGUAGAAAUAGGUUUAGAAAUGGUACAGAAUUGAUAUUCGUAAUUGCUAUUGUUGUAUGUUUAAUAUGUAUGGUGGUGAUGUCUAUGAAAU